GAGUUUGAUCGUGGCUCAGGAUGAACGCUGGCGGCGUGCUUAACACAUGCAAGUCGAACGAAGCGCCUUAUUUGAUUUUCUUCGGAACUGAAGAUUUGGUGACUGAGUGGCGGACGGGUGAGUAACGCGUGGGUAACCUGCCCUGUACAGGGGGAGUAACAAUCAGAAAUAGACUGCUAAUACCGCAUAAGACCACAGCACCGCAUGGUGCAGGGGUAAAAACUCCGGUGGUACAGGAUGGACCCGCGUCUGAUUAGCUGGUUGGUGAGGUAACGGCUCACCAAGGCGACGAUCAGUAGCCGGCUUGAGAGAGUGAACGGCCACAUUGGGACUGAGACACGGCCCAAACUCCUACGGGAGGCAGCAGUGGGGAAUAUUGCACAAUGGGGGAAACCCUGAUGCAGCAACGCCGCGUGAGUGAAGAAGUAUUUCGGUAUGUAAAGCUCUAUCAGCAGGGAAGAAAGUGCGGUACCUGACUAAGAAGCCCCGGCUAACUACGUGCCAGCAGCCGCCGUAU
rnacentral:rRNA from 1 species